GAUGAAGAACGCAGCGAAAUGCGAUAAGUAGUGUGAAUUGCAGAAUUCAGUGAAUCAUCGAAUCUUUGAACGCACAUUGCGGCCAUAGGUAUUCCUUUGGCCAUGCCUGUUCGAGCGUCAUUUACACCCUCAAGCCUAGCUUGGUGUUGGGCGCCUGUCCCGCCGUUUUCGCGCGCGGACUCGCCUCAAAGUCAUUGGCGGCGGUCGUGCCGGCCCCCUCGCGCAGCACAUUUGCGCUUCUCGGAGGCCCGGCGGAUCCGCGCUCCAGCAAGACCUUUCACGACUUGACCUCGGAUCAGGUAGGGAUACCCGCUGAACUUAAGCAUAUCAAUAAGCGGAGGAA
rnacentral:misc_RNA from 1 species